UCCGCCUCGUGGCUCGCGGGGCCUCCGUCCCGCGGCCGUGGCGCGGCCGGAGCUGCGUCUCCUGUCUCACCCAGCAGUCCGCAGCCUAAUGGCCCAGGGCACUGGUGGACAGAAACAAAGCACUUUGUCUGCCGCACCGGCAUCGUGCGAGGCGGGCACCACGUCCACCCCCUCGGAGGCCCAGUCGAGAUUCCCAGGCACAGUCCGUAAUCUGCUGUCAGAGGUGGUCAGACAGAUGCCCGAGUUCACACGCCCGGCCAGACUCCGAGAGGGCAGCUGGAGGCAGGAGAGACCUUGGCCAGGCAGGAAAUGCAGGCCUGAGGUGAAAGGCCACCGGGAAGGGCCUUUGGGGAGGCAGAACGUGGACAUUCCUCGGAGAGCGCAGACACGAAUGCUGAUGUGAGCUCCAAGAAAUGCCUGCUAGGAACCCUGGCAGCAGGAGCAUCCCACACCCUUCCCCGGGCACGCGGGGCAGGUCCUCGCGCUGUUGCCGCACAGCGGAGAGCCUGCUUGGGCCUCCAGGGCGCGUUCGGACGCCUCCCACCUACGACCCCCGGGCCGCAGGCGCAAGUCCUCGGGCGUCGGACCCCUGUCUGCAGUGCUUCCCACACGCCGGCUUAGCGCGGCUCAGCAGCAGGGUUUACCACCUCCGGGCGCCGAGUGAUGCGACUGCUGCUGCUCAGCCCCGGUUCAGCCAUCCCGGAAUCUAAAUGCGAGCUUUGGCCUACGAGAAAGCGCACAGCAGACGGCGUCUGGGCGGGCAGAUGUUGUGAGCAACGGGCUGUUUCCUAUCGUGCUGCUUUCAGAACCAAACAACAAAUGUGUUUUAUUUAACCGAGAAUGUUCUCAUUAAGUUCUCGUCUUAUAAUGUUCCUUCCGAAUGGCACAGGACAAGUUAUAUCUGAAUGCUUUAUUUCUAACAGCGUACUGUCUUAAAACUUCACUAUCUGUUACAUUCUCAGCUCCUUCCUACGCUUAAAGGUAAGGCUGCUCUGCCUCGCACACCCUGCUUUCACAACUGCCGCAGUUCACAGCCGCAUUAGCAUAUUUGGGCUGAGGUAUUGUUUUUCUGUGACCUGUAUAAUAAGUGUCACAUUAGCAACACAACAAAUCAAACGUUUGUUAAUUUCCCUCGCUUUCCCACACAGCUGGUGGUGUUAUCGUGUCACCAGAUUUUAAUUAAUAUGAUAAGUAACACUUGCAAGGCAGCAGCCUGAUUUUUCCCUCAGUGUAUGCAAGGGUCCAAGAGCCCCAUGUGCGUGUGUGAGCGCGCGCACACAUGCAUGCGCCCACAUGUGUGAGUGUGUGCGUGUGGCUGCACACACACGUGCAGAUGGGAGGAAGAGGCGAGGAAACACACUGUUCACACGGGCCUUUUGCAACAAACUAUCGUCACUAAAACACACACGCGAACCCACACAAUCUUAUUGUCAAAUGAAACUUUCUUGCCCCGGUUUUCUCCUGCUCCUCCAGACCGAAGACUGCCGUGCCCCGGUACCUAACACAAAUACGAAAACAGAAUGAGAUGCACUCGUUUCCAUACCUGGGGUGGCUGUGUGUUUAGGGGUAGCAUUUAAGAGAGAGGCGAGCCGCUGUCCUCAGAGGAGCUCAGUGUUACUCUCCCGGCCUCCACUGAGCAGCUCGAACACUGGUUCAGAGACCAUUGUCAGCGCCUUCCUGUGCCACGGUCUCAUCGCAAUAUUCUAGGCUAAGUCAAAAGUGCCAUCUAUUUGCAAAAGCUAGAAAUGCACCCGAACCAGCGAGGAGACUCAGCCGCUCGGCACGCACGGCCGAGGACAGGCCCAUGCGCAGCGGGCUCGGCGGCUGGAAGAGAAACAGCGCGGUGAGGUCGGUGAAGCGGA